AGGUAGUUGGUGAGGUAAUGGCUCACCAAGCCUUCAACGGGUAGCCGGUGUGAGAGCACGACCGGCCACAAGGUCACUGAGACACGGGACCUACACCUACGGGUGGCAGCAACCAGGAAUAUUGCGCAAUGGGCGAAAGCCUGACGCAGCGACACCGCGUGUGGGAUGAAGCUCUUCGGAGUGUAAACCACUGUGGCAAGGGAAUAAUUUGACUGUACCUUGCUAGAAAGCACCUGCUAACUACGUGCCAGAAGCCUCGGUAAUACGUAGGGUGCAAGCGUUAUCCGGAUUUAUUGGGCGUAAAGGGUUCCGUCGGCGGUUUGCCAAGUUUCAUCUUAAAUACUGGGGCUCAACUUCGGAUACAGGGUGGAAAACUAGCAGACUUGAGUUUGUUCGGGGUAACUGGAACUCUCGGUGUAGGGGUGAAAUCCGUAGAUAUCGAGAGGAACGCCAAUCGCGAAGGCAGGUUACUAGGACAAUACUGACGCUCAUGGACGAAAGCUUGGGUAGCAAAAGGGAUUAGAGACCCCUGUAGUCCAAGCUGUAAACGAUGCUCGCUAGCUGGUUGGUCUUCGGACUGACUGGCGUAAGCUAACGCGUAAGCGA
rnacentral:rRNA from 1 species